rnacentral:rRNA from 1 species
CAAUAGCGUAUAUUAAAGUUGUUGCAGUUAAAAAGCUCGUAGUUGGAUUUCGGGAUGGCCCGGCCGGUCUGCCGCAAGGUAUGUUACUGGCCGAGCUGUUCUUCUUCGCAAAGACUGUGUGUGCUCUUAACUGAGUGUGCUCAGGAUCUGUGACGUUUACUUUGAAAAAAUUAGAGUGUUCAAAGCAAGCCAGCGCUUGAAUACAUAAGCAUGGAAUAAUGGAAUAGGACUUUGGUUCUAUUUUGUUGGUUUCUGGAACCUUAGUAAUGAUUAAGAGAGACAGUUGGGGGCAUUCGUAUUUCGUUGUCAGAGGUGAAAUUCUUGGAUUUACGAAAGACGAACUACUGCGAAAGCAUUUGCCAAGAAUGUUUUCAUCAA